AUUGAACGCUGCCGGCAGUCUUAACACCUGCAAGUCGAGCGAGCGGCGGACGGGUGAGUAGUGUCUGGUAAACAGCCUGAUGGAGGGGGAUAACUACUUGUAACGGUAUCUAAUACCGCAUACCAUCAGAUGUGCCCAGAUGGGUUUAGCUAGUAGGUGGGGUGAUGGCUCACCGAGGCGACGAUCCCUGGCUGGUCUGCGCGGAUGACCAGCUAGCCUAGAACGGAGACACGGUAUAGACGAUGGCGGCAGGCAGCAGGGGGGAAAAUCGGACUAUGGGCGUGAGCAUGAUGGCGAAAUGCGGCGGGUGGGAAGAAGGCGUUAGGGUUGUAAAGAACUUGCAGCGAGGAGGUGUUCCUCGGCGAAGAAGCAACGGCUAGCUCCGAGCCAGCAGCCGCGGUAAUAC
rnacentral:rRNA from 1 species